ACAGAGGGUGCAAGCGUUAAUCGGAAUUACUGGGCGUAAAGCGCGCGUAGGUGGUUUGUUAAGUCGGAUGUGAAAUCCCCGGGCUCAACCUGGGAACUGCACCCGAUACUGGCAAGCUAGAGUACAAUAGAGGGGUGUGGAAUUUCCUGUGUAGCGGUGAAAUGCGUAGAUAUAGGAAGGAACAUCAGUGGCGAAGGCGACACCCUGGAUUGAUACUGACACUGAGGUGCGAAAGCGUGGGGAGCAAACAGG
rnacentral:rRNA from 1 species